CCAUAGACAGAUGGUUUCUGCACAAUGGAGCAGCUCCUGGGUCAGCAUAACAGUGCCACAGUGCAGAGAGAUCUACUUCUGAAGGCCAAGAUGGAUGGUUUCUCAGACUGACAGGAUGGCCAGGUUCUGGACAUCUCAGAGGGAGAAGCUCGGACACUCAGGCUCAACCAGAACAUCAGACCUUUGGUUAAACAGGAGCGUGACUUGGAUUUUAAGGAUCAUGCUAUCAUGA
rnacentral:lncRNA from 1 species